rnacentral:rRNA from 1 species
AACGGCCGCGGUAUUCUUGACCGUGCAAAGGUAGCAUAAUCAUUAGUCUUUUAAUAGAAGGCUGGUAUGAAAGGUUUGACGAAGAGUUGACUGUCUCAUUUAAUUUUUUAUUAAAAUUUAAUUUUUUAGUUAGAAAGCUAAAAAUUUUGUUGGUAGACGAGAAGACCCUAUAGAGUUUUAUAGUUUAUUUCAUAUAUGUCAUAUAAUUUUGUGUAUGUUUUAUACUAUUUUGUUGGGGUGACAAAAAUAUAUAAUUAACUUUUUUAUUUAAUUAUCAUUGAUUUAUGUAUAUUAGAUCCAAUCUUAUUGAUUAUUAGUACAAAUUACCUUAGGGAUAACAGCGUAAUCUUCCUUAGGAGCUCUCAUUUACAGGAAGGCUUGCGACCUCGAUGUUGGAUUAAGAUAAUAGUUAGGUGCAGUAGCUUAAUUUAUAGGUCUGUUCGAC